GGAUCGUCCUAGGGUAAAACUGGUGACUGGGGCUAAGUCGUAACAAGGUAGCCGUACCGGAAGGUGCGGCUGGAACACCUCCUUU
rnacentral:rRNA from 1 species